UGAACGCUAGCUACAGGCUUAACACAUGCAAGUCGAGGGUCAGCAUGGUCUUAGCUUGCUAAGGCCGAUGGCGACCGGCGCACGGGUGAGUAACACGUAUCCAACCUGCCGUCUACUCUUGGACAGCCUUCUGAAAGGAAGAUUAAUACAAGAUGGCAUCAUGAGUCCGCAUGUUCACAUGAUUAAAGGUAUUCCGGUAGACGAUGGGGAUGCGUUCCAUUAGAUAGUAGGCGGGGUAACGGCCCACCUAGUCUUCGAUGGAUAGGGGUUCUGAGAGGAAGGUCCCCCACAUUGGAACUGAGACACGGUCCAAACUCCUACGGGAGGCAGCAGUGAGGAAUAUUGGUCAAUGGGCGAGAGCCUGAACCAGCCAAGUAGCGUGAAGGAUGACUGCCCUAUGGGUUGUAAACUUCUUUUAUAAAGGAAUAAAGUCGGGUAUGGAUACCCGUUUGCAUGUACUUUAUGAAUAAGGAUCGGCUAACUCCGUGCCAGCAGCCGCGGUAAUACGGAGGAUCCGAGCGUUAUCCGGAUUUAUUGGGUUUAAAGGGAGCGUAGAUGGAUGUUUAAGUCAGUUGUGAAAGUUUGCGGCUCAACCGUAAAAAUUGCAGUUGAUACGGGAUAUCUUGAGGGCAAGUGGAGGUAGGGAGAAUUUCGUGGUGUAGCGGUGAAAUGCUUAGAUAUCACGAAGAACUCCGAUUGCGAAGCCAGCUUGGUAAGCUGCAACUGACAUGGAGGCUGGAAAGUGUGGGUAUCAAACAGGAUUAGAUACCCUGGUAGUCCACACGGUAAACGAUGAAUACUCGCUGUUUGCGAUAUACAGCAAGCGGCCAAGCGAAAGCGUUAAGUAUUCCACCUGGGGAGUACGCCGGCAACGGUGAAACUCAAAGGAAUUGACGGGGGCCCGCACAAGCGGAGGAACAUGUGGUUUAAUUCGAUGAUACGCGAGGAACCUUACCCGGGCUUAAAUUGCAGAUGAAUUACGGUGAAAGCCGUAAGCCGCAAGGCAUCUGUGAAGGUGCUGCAUGGUUGUCGUCAGCUCGUGCCGUGAGGUGUCGGCUUAAGUGCCAUAACGAGCGCAACCCUUGUUGUCAGUUACUAACAGGUUCCGCUGAGGACUCUGACAAGACUGCCAUCGUAAGAUGUGAGGAAGGUGGGGAUGACGUCAAAUCAGCACGGCCCUUACGUCCGGGGCUACACACGUGUUACAAUGGGGGGUACAGAGGGCCGCUACCACGCGAGUGGAUGCCAAUCCCCAAAACCUCUCUCAGUUCGGACUGGAGUCUGCAACCCGACUCCACGAAGCUGGAUUCGCUAGUAAUCGCGCAUCAGCCACGGCGCGGUGAAUACGUUCCCGGGCCUUGUACACACCGCCCGUCAAGCCAUGGGAGCCGGGGGUACAAGAAGUGCGUAACCGCGAGGAGCGCCCUAGGGUA
rnacentral:rRNA from 1 species